rnacentral:rRNA from 1 species
UACGUAGGUGACAAGCGUUGUCCGGAUUUACUGGGCGUAAAGAGCGCGCAGGCGGUCGUUCAAGUCGAGUGUGAAAGCCCCCGGCUCAACUGGGGAGGGUCACUCGAUACUGAUCGACUCGAAGGCAGGAGAGGGAAGUGGAAUUCCCGGUGUAGUGGUGAAAUGCGUAGAUAUCGGGAGGAACACCAGUGGCGAAGGCGGUUGCCUGGGGCUUUGCUGACGCUGAUGCGCGAAAGCGUGGGGAGCGAUCCGG